AACGAACGCUGGCGGCAGGCCUAGCACAUGCAAGUCGAACGCCCCGCCAGGGGAGUGGCAGACGGGUGGGUAACACGUGGGAACCUUCCCUAUAGUACGGAAUAGCCCAGGGAAACUUGGAGUAAUACCGUAUACGCCCGAAAAGGGAAAGAAGUUCGCUAUAGGAUGGGCCCGUGUAGGAUUAGCUGGUUGGUGAGGUAAUGGCUCACCAAGGCGACGAUCCUUAGCUGGUUUGAGAGAACGACCAGCCACACGGGGACUGAGACACGGCCCAGACUCCGACGGGAGGCAGGAGUGGGGAAUAUUGGACAAUGGGCGCAAGCCUGGUCCAGCCACGCCGCGUGAGUGGUGAAGGCCUUAGGGUUGUAAAGCUCUUUUGGCGGGGACGAUAAUGACGGUACCCGCAGAAUAAGUCCCGGCUAACUUCGUG
rnacentral:rRNA from 1 species